rfam:Aedes aegypti strain Liverpool supercont1.384 genomic scaffold, whole genome shotgun sequence.
UGCCCAGCAACUCCUAUCCCUACCUCCUCGUGGUACUGGCCGGGGUACGAGUAACCUUAGGGAAGAUCGGGUAACCAACCCUGGUGGGAGCUAUGGUCGUAUGCUGACAGGGAAGG